AAUUUGUUAAGCAUCUCAAAGGCAUUAUUAAAGUUAGUAAAAAAAUAUGUUCUUCAAUUCAAUGCAUUGAAAUCGCUAAGAUUACCUGUCAACUGCUGCAUUUAAUUGUAGUAUCAUUAGGACACUUGUUAGAGAAAACCCACGAGCUUAUACUCUUAAUGUCUCCUUUAGUACUUGAAACUUGAAACUGUGCCUAGUGUGCUUUGAAACCAUUGCUGCAGAAACAGAAAGAGAGGAAGUGGGAGAAGAUUUAAGGGGUGAAGAUGGUGGUUGACGGCGGAGAAACAAUUGGAGAAGCAUAGUUGUUAGAGAGAUCUUGGAGGCUGGUGCCAGAGGUCGGUUCGGAGAAGAAGAUGCCAACGGUGGUGGUUUCAACUGACGAAGGACGACGAUGAUGAUGAUGAAACAAAGAAGACAAAGCUACGUGUUUAAAUUUUAUUGGUUUUGGUUAGAAAUUAAAAGCUGACAUGGAAAUUUAAAUAUCGAUUUAAUUUAAAAAAAUCCAUAUAAGAUUUCCAUUUUAACAAGUGGUUC
rnacentral:lncRNA from 1 species